GAAGAUAUGAAGCAGCAUGGUGGUUGAGAAAAAUGGUUGGAGUUGUUGCAGCUAAAUAUUUACCCGUAGAGACUUCUAAGGAAGAGUUUAGGCUUUGUUUGAGGAGUGAGAUCAUUCUUUGUAAUGUUCUUAACAAAGUUCAACUAGGUUGGAGAGUCAUUAUCAGCAUUUCAGUAUUUUGAAAACGUUAGAAACUUUCUGGUGGCUGUUCAGGAAAUUAGAAUUCCUACAUUUGAAGAAUUUGAUAUGGAACAAGUAUGUAAAGGAUCA